rnacentral:sRNA from 1 species
CAGAUUUUUAUAUUCUUGAUAAAUAUCCAUUGGCUGUAAGACCUUUCUAUACCAUGCCUGACCCAAGAAAUCCCAAACAGUCCAACUCUUACGAUAUGUUCAUGAGAGGAGAAGAAAUAUUGUCAGGAGCUCAAAGAAUACAUGAUCCUCAGCUGCUAACAGAGAGAGCUUUACAUCAUGGAAUUGAUUUGGAGAAAAUUAAGGCUUACAUUGAUUCCUUUCGCUUUGGAGCCCCUCCUCAUGCUGGUGGAGGCAUUGGUAAUAUUCUGUUAUUGCUUACAAAUAAGUUCAUAAGUUCUAAGUAUAAUAUAAAUUUGAAUUACAAGAAUUUUUAAAAGUGAAUUACAACGUAAGUGAAAAUUUGAUUUCCAAGAAACAAAAUAAACAGCUAACUUGCCUGUUAUAAAAUAUUAUUGUCAUAAAGUUCUAGCCAUUUUUUUUCUCUUAAGAAUUUAGAAGCCAAAUGUCCUGUAAGUGGAGUAUCCUGUUUUCUCUCUGCUGCUGUGAGUUCAUUCGCAUUAGCACAAAUUAAAGCUCUACCUUAAAAUA